GAUGAACGCUGGCGGCGUGCCUAAUACAUGCAAGUCGAGCGAACGGACGAGAAGCUUGCUUCUCUGAUGCUAGCGGCGGACGGGUGAGUAACACGUGGAUAACCUACCUAUAAGACUGGGAUAACUUCGGGAAACCGGAGCUAAUACCGGAUAAUAUUUUGAACCGCAUGGUUCAAAAGUGAAAGACGGUCUUGCUGUCACUUAUAGAUGGAUCCGCGCUGCAUUAGCUAGUUGGUAAGGUAACGGCUUACCAAGGCAACGAUGCAUAGCCGACCUGAGAGGGUGAUCGCCCACACUGGAACUGAGACACGGUCCAGACUCCUACGGGAGGCAGCAGUAGGGAAUCUUCCGCAAUGGGCGAAAGCCUGACGGAGCAACGCCGCGUGAGUGAUGAAGGUCUUCGGAUCGUAAAACUCUGUUAUUAGGGAAGAACAUAUGUGUAAGUAACUGUGCACAUCUUGACGGUACCUAAUCAGAAAGCCACGGCUAACUACGUG
rnacentral:rRNA from 1 species